GACGAACGCUGGCGGCGUGCCUAAUACAUGCAAGUCGAACGCAGUGGGGACGGGUGAGUAACACGUGGGUAACCUCCCAUCAGAGGGGAUAACACUUGGAAACAGGUGCUAAACCGAUACUGAUGGAUGGACACGCGGUGCAUUAGCUAGUUGGUGAGGUAACGGCUCACAAAGUCCAAGAUGACUACACGACCGCAGGUGGUGAUCGGCGACACUGGGACUGCGACACGGCCCAGCAUCCUACGGGAGGCAGCAGUAGGGAAUCUUCGGCAAGGGACGAAAGUCUGACCGAGCAACGCCGCGUGAGUGAAGAAGGUUUUCGGAUCGUAAAACGCUGUUGUGAGAGAAGAGGUAGCUAACCAUAAAGCCACGGCUAACUACGUGCCAGCAGCCGCGGUAAUAC
rnacentral:rRNA from 1 species